rnacentral:lncRNA from 1 species
GUCACAGCAUGCAGGAUCAUUUAGCACUUAACACAGACUAAUUAGUGACCUUUUUUUUUCAAAAGAUGACAGUGUUUUAGUUCGCUCCUUUCAAAUGGAGAAGCGGAUUAUAUAUAUAUAUAUAUAAAUAUAAACGUGUGUGUCGGUCCAUUUUAAGAGAGAAGAUACUUAUUUAUAAAGGAGGUUUCCUUUAUUGACGAGCUUGCU